UUUUCAGGGGAAAAAAUAUCCACAUAAAACAGAAAAAUGUGCAACAUGCAUCAUUCCUCUUAAUAUAUUACUUCUCUACGGCUGUUCCUAGCUCUGGUUUUCUAAGGAGAAAGUCAACUUACAGUGAGAAAUUCGGAUGAUGUUCCUUGAAUAAGUGGAACUGAGAAAGAUGGCGAUUUAAGAGGCUGUAUUGAUUGCGAUAUUCUGAAGGGCAUCUUGAAUGAACGUGUGUAAACAACAUUUCGCCAGAGAUUUACAGAAAAUCUCGAUAUGUAUGUUCAGAUGACAAGCAUACGAGUGAGCGAGACAGCUGAACUGAAUAGGCAAUAUUCAUAAAUUUCGUAUUGUAUAGGAAAUACGAAAAUCACAGAGAUUCCCAUGCAGUCGAGAUUUGAACCUGUGAAAGACUUGGGUAACCAAAUUA